rnacentral:tRNA from 1 species
GCCCGCAUAGCACAGUGGCAGUGCGUUCCUCUCGUAGUGACAGCUCUUUGGUCUUCCUCAGUCAACAGUCUCGAGCUCGUAAGGAAAGGUCAGUGGUUCAAUCCCGCUUGGGGGCA